AAGCGCUACCUCGGAACGCACACUGUUCGGGCAAAGAAAGAAGUAAUUCUUUGCGCUGGAGCCAUAGCCUCUCCGCAGCUACUGAUGCUUUCAGGCAUAGGACCUCGAGAACAUCUCGAGUCUCUUGGGAUAAAGGUAAUAGCAGACCUUCCUGUCGGCGAAAAUCUAUUCGACCACGUCACCGUGAACGGAAUAGCGGCAACGACUGCAGAGAACAUCGAAAUCAACUACUAUUUACCGUCUACAGUGCCAAAGUAUUCUCUGUUUAGAACGGGUCCACUUAUCCAUGCUUAUGGCGUUGAAUGUGUCGCCUUCUUAAGCACACCCAACGCCGAUCCGACGCUUCCGGACA